rnacentral:rRNA from 1 species
UGGGGAAUUUUGGACAAUGGACGCNAGUCUGAUCCAGCCAUUCCGCGUGCAGGACGAAGGCCUUCGGGUUGUAAACUGCUUUUGUACAGAACGAAAAAGUCUCUAUUAAUACUAGGGGCUCAUGACGGUACUGUAAGAAUAAGCACCGGCUAACUACGUGCCAGCAGCCGCGGUAAUACGUAGGGUGCAAGCGUUAAUCGGAAUUACUGGGCGUAAAGCGUGCGCAGGCGGUUAUAUAAGACAGAUGUGAAAUCCCCGGGCUCAACCUGGGAACUGCAUUUGUGACUGUAUAGCUGGAGUGCGGCAGAGGGGGAUGGAAUUCCGCGUGUAGCAGUGAAAUGCGUAGAUAUGCGGAGGAACACCGAUGGCGAAGGCAAUCCCCUGGGCCUGCACUGACGCUCAUGCACGAAAGCGUGGGGAGCAAACAGGAUUAGAUACCCUGGUAGUCCACGCCCUAAACGAUGUCUACUGGUUGUUGGGCCUUUUCUGGUUCAGUAACGAAGCUAACGCGUGAAGUAGACCGCCUGGGGAGUACGGUCGCAAGAUUA